rnacentral:lncRNA from 1 species
CAACUUAAUCACUAGAGGGAAAAAAUGGGCACCUCAACAUUUUAAAGCCCGCAAAGGAGUCAUGUUUCUGAAUACAAGAGUCCUUGUGCUGUACGUGUAUCCUGUUUGAUGGGUUUAGUCAUGCUAAGAUUUAGCAUGUCUCAAGCUUCACUGUCUCAUUAAUUACCCUUCUACAGCCUCAAGACAGAUACAUGGCUGACUCUGAUCAUUCAGUCAUUCUUAUGGUUCAAAUCCCCCCCCCAUAAGAUGGGGGAACAGCAGUAGCAUCACCCCCUCUGCUGUCAUUUUUCAUCUAUGAAAGUGGCACUCUGAAGAGGGUGGAGGCUGUUUUAACUACUGUAUUUGCUAGCAUAUAAGACGACUGGGCCUAUAAGACAACCCCAACAUUUCCACUCAAAAUAUAGCAUUCGUUAUAUACUCGCCGUAUAAGACUACCCUUCCCUCUGCCUUUUACCCCACCGGAGGGGCCAAAGAGGGAGGAGAAGGAAAGCAGGGGUGGGCUACCAGCUGGCCCGAGGUAGAGGCCAGCGCCUGCUUGCUCGCCCAGCCUCCGGAAGUCUCCUCAGGAACCCAGCAUGGCCGCAGCACUGGCAACGAAUGGGGUGGUGCUGGCUUGUCGCAGGCGCCAUUUGCUUGCCAGCUUCUCUCUGCCUGGACAACAUGGUGGUUUGGUUGCCAGUUGAUACACACAGAUGAAGCAGGAGAGGAGACCCACCAAUGUAGUCCAGCUGGAAUUCUGUUAGUGAUUUACACAUGCAAAAAUUAAAUAAUGUAAGUUGCAAAUUGCUUAUAAUUAAUAGUGUGGUAGUUGCAUGAUGGGCAUGUGACUGGGAAUACAACCUGCGUCUCAUUAACCAUCAGCAAUUCACCAUUGCAACUUCCACAGUUUCAUUUACCUAUGCAAGCAUCACCUAUAGAAUUCAGGCCCUUAUUCUGUGCUCUUCUACAUAAGAGAGGGCUUUUGCUUUUUCAUUAUGAAGUUGAAACCAUUUGACAAAUUUGUGUGUGUUGUGCGGGGGAGGGGUGGUUAGGAAGAACAUCCUGACCUCUUGAGGCAUAAUGGCUCCA